UGUGCCGGUACUGCGCUGGCUGCCCGGCUACAUCCAGCUGCGGCCACUAUCGUGCUGGUACUGAGGGACAUGCCAGGACGGCAUACACCGCACUGCUGGGUACAGCGCCGAGGAUCCCUGGACCAGCACAGUAAUGACCGGCUCAUAUAUCCGGAGACACCAGAUUCCCAGCCAGAGAGAGCUGUGAGAGACCGGUGCUGCUGCUGCCCCCCCUCGGAGAAGAAAGAAGCAGACGCUGUGUUCCUCGUGGAUGGCUCCCUGACAUGCUCUUUCACAAGUAGCCGAGUAUGGUGUAUAUGCUGCAGUAGAUGUUGUUUUAUCCUGUUAUAUACAUUUCAUUGUUUAAUAAAUGAGGUGAGAGAAAUGAAAUAGUUCCAUAUUAGAGGGAAUAAUCUGACAAUGUCACAGACUGUUGUUUCAGCAGUGUCCACUAGGUGGUGGUGAGGGAGCAUGAAUUGUGUUUUCUGGUCUUUUGUAGCUCCUCAAUAAACAUCACCUAGGAUCUCCAUAGUUACUAUCUUCAUCUGGAAGAUGAUCAUCAAUGUUUACAAUUUCAGUCAAAGCCAUUAUCAUGUAAAUCACUACCUCUUCUGUUUUCAGUUCCUCGGACUGCAGUACCUGUGAGCAGCUUCGGCGCCUGGAGCAACACCGCAAUCUGCAGGAGGCUUUGAAGAUGGUAGUAGUCCGGAGAGCACGACAGAGGGUCCUCAUUGUAGGAGCAUUCAGCAGGAAGGGGACAGGCAGCUGGGAGUAAUCCAGAACCAGGAAUAGAAGCUCCACCAGACGGCGGGGCCACAGACAGGAGAGCAGAGUAAUGGCGGCUUAGCAUCUGGAAGCGUGGCGGACCCCAGUGCAGAGCGGAGGAUCAUGGGAGCACACAGAGGUCAGAGUUCAGCAGAAGGACAUCAGGUGCAGAUGGUGAACUACACAUAGAGGAAAGGAAAAAAGGGGAUGGCAACGUUAACCAAAGUGGAUCCCCCUGGACCACAGGACUUAAGAGAGAAAUAAACUGCUAUAUGUCAGGGACACGAAGAGCCAGACAGUGUACACAUCACCAUGGCGAUGGGGGCGCGGCUUGACUACGUCAUCGGCAACAGACGCAGGUGCUACCGCCCGGCGCGGUAUCCAGGCUGCACUUGGCUCAUUGCCAGAUAGGUGAUUGUAGCCUAGUGAAGCGCCGCAGCCCGGCCGUUUAGCAUAUUUGGCCGCUAUGGCAACCAGACGCGACUCCAGUGACAUCAUCAACGGGAAGAGAAACAGCAAGCAGCGCGGCCGGGCGGGCGUGGAGCACAGAGCGGGAUUCUUCAGUAUUUAAGCCACACCGACACAGCUGUGCAACCUCACAAGGCAGAACUUGCCGAGCCUGAGCAAUUGAUCAACGAGCAAAGGGAUAAGACCCGUACAGUCCCAGGGAACAUACUACGGAAUGAAGAAUAAAUCCAGGAGAUGGUGCAGAGCACCAGGAGGCCUCUCAGUGCUGACAGACCUCCUGUACUGCAUCAUUGUCAUCCAUACAGUUCCUGGACAGACUGCUGCUAUACGUCUGGAGCAUUGCGUGCUGCACGGGUGACUGGUCACAGAUAGGACGUAUGGACGGCAGAGCUUAUAUUUUGUUGUUACAUAUUAUCUAUAUACAUUUACAUUACAGCCGUCCAUCCAUGUGAGUGUUUUGUAAAACCUGAACUAUUACAUUGUAUCAAAUUAUAUUAAAACUUUUGUUUUUUAAUAAAAAAAUACAUCAGAA